CCUACGGGGGGCUGCAGUGGGGAAUAUUGGACAAUGGGGGGAACCCUGAUCCAGCCAUGCCGCGUGUGUGAAGAAGGCCCUCGGGUUGUAAAGCACUUUCAGUGAGGAAGAACGCCUGGUGGUUAAUACCCAUCAGGAAAGACAUCACUCACAGAAGAAGCACCGGCUAACUCCGUGCCAGCAGCCGCGGUAAUACGGAGGGUGCGAGCGUUAAUCGGAAUUACUGGGCGUAAAGCGCGCGUAGGUGGCUUGAUAAGCCGGUUGUGAAAGCCCCGGGCUCAACCUGGGAACGGCAUCCGGAACUGUCAAGCUAGAGUGCAGGAGAGGAAGGUAGAAUUCCCGGUAUAGCGGUGAAAUGCGUAGAGAUCGGGAGGAAUACCAGUGGCGAAGGCGGCCUUCUGGACUGACACUGACACUGAGGUGCGAAAGCGUGGGUAGCAAACAGGAUUAGAUACCCGGGUAGUC
rnacentral:rRNA from 1 species